GUGACCGCUACGUAGCAGGUGACCUCACCAGGGUGAUAACGGUAGAGACGACCCCUACGUAGCAGGUGACCUCACCAGGGUGAUAACGGUAGAGACGACCCCUACGUAGCAGGUGACCUCACCAGGGUGAUAACGGUAGAGACGACCGCUACGUAACAGGUGACCUCACCAGCGUGAUAACGGUAGAGACGACCGCUACGUAGCAGGUGACCUCACCAGGGUGAUAACGGUAGAGACGACCGCUACGUAGCAGGUGACCUCACCAGGGUGAUAACGGUAGAGACGACCCCUACGUAGCAGGUGACCGCUACGUAGCAGGUGACCUCACCAGGGUGAUAACGGUAGAGACGACCGCUACGUAACAGGUGACCUCACCAGGGUGAUAACGGUAGAGACGACCGCUACGUAACAGGUGAUCUCACCAGCGUGAUAACGGUAGAGACGACCGCUACGUAGCAGGUGACCUCACCACGGUGAUAACGGUAGAGACGACCCCUACGUAGCAGGUGACCUCACCAGCGUGAUAACGGUAGAGACGACCCCUACGUAGCAGGUGACCUCACCAGGGUGAUAACGGUAGAGACGACCGCUACGUAACAGGUGACCUCACCAGGGUGAUAACGGUAGAGACGACCCCUACGUAGCAGGUGACCUCACCAGGGUGAUAACGGUAGAGACGACCCCUACGUAGCAGGUGACCUCACCAGGGUGAUAACGGUAGAGACGACCCUUACAUUCUGCAUUUGAACACCAUUUUUUAGAGAGUCGUUAAAACUGUGCAAGGGAAAUAGUCUAUUAAUUACACCGUUUUUACCAACUAUUGAGUUACAUUAAUUGUGAACGAUUAUUCAGGCUAUAUGAGCAGAUUUAUAGAAUGUUGAGACAUGAAAUUGCUGUCCUGGACAGUUGGGGGCUGACACUGUGUUUUUGGGGGAGGGGGGUGAUUCCCGGAUUAAGCUGGAACAGAACUGGAAUGGGAAACAGAAUAAUGGAAUGAUGGAAGUCUGAUUCAUGGAGCUCUUUGUUCAGAUUCUCCACACAGACUCCAUUCACUCUGCCUGGUCUGACCUGUGGUGGGUUCUGGGUCAGUAUCUCUGAGUCUGUGUGUGCAACCCAAAGUGCACCCUUUUCCCUAUAUACAGCACUACGUUUCACCAUAGUCCUUUGAGGCCUGGUUAAAGUCAAUGCAGGGAAUAUGGUGCACUUUGUGCCGCAGGCUCUGAGACAACUGGUCCUGGCUGAAUGUGAAGGGGUGAGACAGAGACCGGUCCUGGCUGGCUGUGAAGGGGUGAGACAGAGACUGGUCCUGGCUGGCUGUGAAAGGGUGAGACAGAGACUGGUCCUGGCUGGUUGUGAAGGGGUGAGAGAGACUGGUCCUGGCUGGCUGUGAAGGGGCGAGACAGAGACUGGUCCUGGCUGACUGUGAAGGGGCGAGACAGAGACUGGUCCUGGCUGACUGUGAAGGGUGAAGGGGUGAGACAGAGAUUGGUCCUGGCUGACUGUGAAGGGUGAAGGGGUGAGACAGAGACUGGUCCUGGCUGACUGUGAAGGGGUGAGACAGAGACUGGUCCUGGCUGACUGUGAAGGGUGAAGGGGUGAGACAGAGAUUGGUCCUGGCUGACUGUGAAGGGUGAAGGGGUGAGACAGAGACUGGUCCUGGCUGACUGUGAAGGGGUGAGACAGAGACUGGUCCUGGCUGGCUGUGAAGGGGCGAGACAGAGACUGGUCCUGGCUGACUGUGAAGGGGCGAGUCAGAGACUGGUCCUGGCUGACUGUGAAGGGUGAAGGGGUGAGACAGAGACUGGUCCUGGCUGACUGUGAAGGGUGAAGGGGUGAGACAGAGACUGGUCCUGGCUGACUGUGAAGGGAUGAGACAGAGACUGGUCCUGGCUGACUGUGAAGGGUGAAGGGGUGAGACAGAGACUGGUCCUGGCUGACUGUGAAGGGGCGAGACAGAGACUGGUCCUGGCUGACUGUGAAGGGUGAAGGGGUGAGACAGAGACUGGUCCUGGCUGACUGUGAAGGGUGAAGGGGUGAGACAGAGACUGGUCCUGGCUGACUGUGAAGGGGCGAGACAGAGACUGUACCCCUCUACCCCAUCUCCCUCCCGUUAUGUUUCAGUCUCAUCCCACACAGGCUUUUUCUCUCCAUCCGUCAAUCUAGCUCACUCUUUCUCUAUGAAUCACUAUAUUCUACCUUUUUUUCCGGCUCUUUCUUUCAUUCUUUCUUCCUUUCUCUAAAUCUGUCUUUUCUUUCCCUCCUUGGUGUGGGCAGGUGAGGUGGCAGGUAGAGUUACCUGGUGAAACCUGACCUGUGUCCCUCCUCCCAUUCACCAGAGACACAAACCAAAAGCUACUCUGUUCCUUUCCUGUGAAUUAGCCUCUGUCCCUGUUCAACUGAAUCAAAACACCUCUGUUCUCCCUCUCUCUCUCUCU